AAGCGUGUCACGGGGAGCUGGCCGUUAGCCGGCUGAGAGGAGGCUGUUAUCGUCUCGACCCGCAACCUGAUUUGGAUAAUGCCAACGUAGGGAUGUGUAUUCGUGUGUGA
rnacentral:ncRNA from 2 species